rnacentral:lncRNA from 1 species
CCCCCCUCCCGGCGGUCGUGAGGGGGUGCGGGCGGCGGGGAAGAUCAAGCUACGCCUUGGAGCCAGGCUGUGACCUUUAAAGACGAUCGGAGUGCUCUCCCUGCAGCCAGUUCCCAGGACUGGGGUUGGGAAAGGGAGGCUACGGCGAGGGAGGCCGUAGCACUGCACAAAGUGAGGCGAUAUGCAUCAUUUAAUUGCCCUUAACGUGCUUGGCGUGCAACUUAGAAAGGUUCUGGCGUCUCUUCGAGCACAUGGAUUUACAUGUGCCGCUCCCCUGUAAAAUAAGCAAAAGGAAGCAAGAGGACAGGGAGAUCCAUCUGUACACACAUUUAAACGUACAGUUUGACAAGGUUACUGGAUGCAGUGGGAUUCACCAGGACUUGAAGAAUUGCUUGAAGAAUUGCUUUUAAACAUGAUUUUAGCCAGCGUUAAUUCCAGGAUAGAUACAGUCUCACAGCAUAUGCUUCUCUCAAACAUCAUGCAGUUCUGCUUUCUGGGAAGAAAUAAAAAAAGAAAUACCCUCCUUCUUCCUGUAUGUGAUUUGCAUUUACAGCAGACCUGAUUUUCAGAUAAGUAAAUGUUCACAAGUCCACUUAAAAUAAGAGGAGCUGCAGCAAUCAUUUCAGAACUGGAUCUUAAACCUUUCUUGGCGGUGAGGGGGAAAGUGGAAAGAGAACAGCAUAUUUGGUAUAGUUGAUGUCUGCGUAUCUCAUGUUUUGAAAGAGAACACUAUUCCUGUCUUAUUGGUAAAAUCCAAGCAAUCUUUGCUCCUACAAGGUACUGUAAAGAGACCUGCCGUUCUGGUAUGUACAUUUACCUUUUAUCUUCUCUCUCAUUGUAAGAGGCAUCCUUUUUUUUUCCAGUCAAACCCCUCAUUUAACCAUUAUUUCUUCUAAAAAUUCCUUCAGUAGAAAUUUGUGUGACGCUAUCAUCCAGCCAGCUUAAGAGACAAUUCAGA